AUGAGCGACGGCUACGGCCAGAUCGAAGAUUUGGUUGACGAGUACUUCCUCGGUUACUCCGUUGCCGCCAACCAAGUCAUCGAGGCCCGCCGCGACGCGCAAAGGCAGGCUGGGGUUGAGAUCGCGCCGGAUGCUCGCCGGUCGCUUGAGGAGCAGCUUCUUGCGAUCCAAGCCUGCCUCCAGCCGGCUCACCGCAUGCUCCGUCGUCUUCAGCGCGUUGGGGCGCAAGUGCUAGCCGCUCUCUGGCCCGACGAGGUGGUUCCCCGUACCCCCAGUCGGACUGCCGACUGGCUGGAGGUAGUGGUUGGCCGCUUCGAGGCCUGGAAGGCUUCUGCAGCUCGGUCAGGCGCCAGGCUGGCGCUGGAGUUCGUCCGAGCUUGGUAUCCUGGGCUGGAUUUGGCCCAGCUGACCACCUGGCGGCAGGAGGCCAACGAGGAGCUGGAGGCGGUGCGGCCGGCUAUCAUCCAGCGCGCCUCGGCGAUCGCCGACUACACCGCCACCAGUGCCUUUGCCCCUGAGGUGAAUGAUGACGGCGUUGCUCAGCCGGAGGAGUGGUUUGGGUUGAACCCAUCGAAUGGUGAAGACUCGGCGGAGGAGAUCGACUCCAGUGACGAGGGCGAAGAGGAGGAGGGAGAGGAUGGUGAAGACACCGCGCCAGACGGUGGAGCAACCGGCCAGCCUCAGCUUGAUCGUGCCUCCAGCAACGAGGCGCGUGCGAGCGCGCCGCCUGCAGCGUGA
rnacentral:rRNA from 1 species